CUGCUGGGAACGGGCCGCCUGUGGGGACAGGGGACACGGGACAGGAGACAAAUCCGACGGGACAGGUGACACUGGGGACACGGGGAGAUUGAGAACACGGGGACAGGUGAGAAAUCCGUUGGGGGACAGGUGACAAAUUCAUCAAGGGAAACAGGCCAGGUGACACUGGGGACAUGGGACAGGUGACAGAGCCAGCAGGGGAGGGACACAGGACAGGUGACAGAUCCAUUGGGGACAUGGGACAGGUGACAAAUCCAUCAGGGGAAAUGGGACAGGUGACACCAGGGACAAAGGACAGGUGACAAAAACAUCAGAGGACAGGGCACAGGUGACACCGGGGACACGGGACAGGUGACAAAUCCAUCAAAGGACACGGGACAGGUGACACGGGUGACAAAUCCAUCGGGAGAGGGUUCCAGGUGUCCUGGGGGUGUCUCACGUGAGACAGGUGAGUUCCCAGCCCCCACUCCAGCCUCGCAACUGUGUUACCUGUCCCAGGUGUGUAUUUCCCUUUCCCAGGUGUGUAUUUACCUGUCCCAGGGGUAUCUCACCUGUCCAAGUGUAUUUACCUGCAGCUGGAACGCCAGCUCAGCUGUGGCCCUGCGCGCGCUCACGGCUCAUGUCCCAGGUGUGCAUUUCCCUGUCCCAGGUGUGCAUUUCCCUCUCCCAGGUGUGUAUUUACCUGUCCCAGGUGCGUAUUGCAUUACCUGUCCCAGGUGUGCAUUUCCCUGUCCCAGGUGUGCAUUUCCCUGUCCCAGGUGUGCAUUUCCCUGUCCCAGGUGUGCAUUUCCCUGUCCCAGGUGUGCAUUUCCCACCUGUAUUACCUGUCCCAGAUGUGUAUUUCCCUGU
rnacentral:lncRNA from 12 species